CUCGAUGUUUAUGGGAGGUCUAGCCUGCCCACUGAAGGAGUUAAAGGGCCGCGGUAUUUUGACCGUGCAAAGGUAGCAUAAUCAUUAGUCUUCUAAUUAAAGGCUGGAAUGAAUGGCUGGACGAGGUAUUAGCUGUCUCUUUGGGAGAGAUUUGAAUUUAACUUUCUAGUGAAAAGGCUGGGAUAGUAUUGGAGGACGAGAAGACCCUAUAGAGCUUUACAUUUACUGUUACUUUAAUUGGUUUGGUUGGAGUUAGAUUUUGUGGCAGGAGUGUUUCGUUGGGGUGACGGGGAGAAAUAAGAAACUCUUCUUGGAAUGAACCACAAAUUAGUGAUUGAUUGAUCCACUUGUAGUGAUUAGAAGACUAAGUUACCUUAGGGAUAACAGCGUAAUCUUUUUUGAGAGUUCUAAUCGACAAGAAGGGUUGCGACCUCGAUGUUGGACUAAGGAUGAUUCUUGGGUGCAGAAGUUCAAGGUUUAGGUCUGUUCGACCUUUGAAUCCUUA
rnacentral:rRNA from 1 species